UAGUCCACGCCGUAAACGAUGAUUACUCGUUGUUGGCGAUAUAUAGUCAGCGACUGAGCGAAAGCAUUAAGUAAUCCACCUGGGGAGUACGGCGGCAACGCCGAAACUCAAAGGAAUUGACGGGGGCCCGCACAAGCGGAGGAACAUGUGGUUUAAUUCGAUGAUACGCGAGGAACCUUACCUGGGCUUAAAUGUAGCGUGACCGUCCCUGAAAGGGGAUUUCCAAGCAAUUGGCAGGUUACA
rnacentral:rRNA from 1 species